rnacentral:misc_RNA from 1 species
UUGAUACUGUCAAACAUUUGUCGUCUCUUUGUUUCUUUCUCAGUUUCUCCCUCCACAACUAUGAGCAACCUUGUUCACUCUCGCUCCUCCUUUUCCUCUCUUUCUUCUCUUACUGUCCAGCCCCUCAAACUCCACCGAAAACCCUUAGCUUCAACUAUCUUCACCUCUUCAUCCUCCAAAACCUCAACCCUGAUUUGCUCUUCCAAACCCAACAACGGCCGCAAACCCAUAUCGAGAAAAGGCAAGAAAUCAUCUUAUGGCACCUCCAGGAGGUCAAUUCUCAAGAAAACGUUCACCCAAGAGCACGUUACCUUCACUUUUCCAGUCGCGGAUGAUCCUCAUGUGGGCAUAAUUGGAGGAGGCAUGGCGGGUCUGGUUUGUGCUUUGAGCUUGGAGAAGAUAGGGAUCAAGUCCACAGUCUUCGAUACGGUUGGUCAGUUGUUUCUUUUUAUCAUUUGUUUUUUAAUAGGGAGUUUCAGAUUUUUUUUUUUUCUAUGUUACGGUGAAGGUAGACGAUAAUGGGUGGGUUUUAUAAUGUGAAAUUAUCAAUAUAUGCUUUAUUUGAGAGUAAUUUAUGAGCUAUUAUAUGCCUAUAGAAGUAACGUUCUUUUACUUCAUUCUUGUUUCCAAGAGUUUAAGGAUAAAAUGCUCAAUUUCUUAUAAACCUGUUAGCAUGGAUAAACAAUUUGUGUUUUGGUUUACUCAUUUCUGAAAUGUCUUAUAAAUUUCUCUUUCUUUGUUGAAUUUGUAAACACGCGUUUGCCAUCUGCGCGUAAAUUUCCUGAAAUGAAUAUGCCUUUGGAUUUGACUUUCUUACACUAUUGAAUGGAGUACUAUACGUGCUUCCAAGGGAGCAUGUUUCCCUGUGGAAUCCACAUUGCUGUUAGGAUCGUGCUUCGGGAGCAUCUUUUAAUUUCUUUUGUAGGUAAAUUAUUACAAUUAUGAAGGUUAAUCACAAACCCAUGCUAAUUCAGGGGAACCAUGGUUUGGGAGGAAGAAUGGGAACUAGAAAAAUUGAUCCUCAGCCACUAAUAUUUGAUCAUGCGGCUCAAUUUUUUACAGUAAGUAAUCCUCAGUUUGCUGAGUUAGUUGAUAGUUGGUUGGAGAAAGGUCUAAUUCGACAGUGGCAAGGUACAAUUGGAGAGCUUGAAGUGGGUGGUCAAUUUGUUCCGCUGCCUUCUUUGCCUCCAAAAUAUGUUGGUGUCAAUGGAAUGCGCCCUCUUGCUGACUCAUUGCCAUCUCAGGUCACAGCUUAAUAGAUUCUGGACCCUUGCUGCAGACUCGCAUGGUUAAUGUGGUGAGACCUUGCUGGAUAAGUAGACUUGAGCCAUUCAAUGGGAUGUGGCACUUGAGCGAGAAUGGAAAACCUUGUGGGCAGUUUGAUGUCAUUGUCAUUGCACAUAAUGGUGAGACUUCUUCUGUCCCUGCAUUUAUACUCUUAUUUUACCAAUUUUGACAAUAUUUCUGCAUUUUGUUGUAUUUCAGCAUACAUAUUAUUUGAAAUUUGGAUGACAUAAAAUGCUAUAUUUGGCUUCAUUUUGUUAAAAUGGAAUAAAUGAUUAUUCCACUUUUGCCAAUACAGGUUUUCAAGGAUUUUUCUAAUGCUAUGGUGAUUGAUCUUGCUUGAUUCUACUGAAAUGUUAAUACUAUUCCGUAUUUUUUCUAUAUUAAUGCAGGUUUAUCUAGAAUAUGCAUGUCUGUAAAAGGUCUAUUCAAUAUGAAAUAUUGGCAAACCAGUGACAAAAAAUUAAUGAUUGUUUAUAGGUAUAUAAAUGUUACCUUGUCCAUUUAGUAUUAAGUAAUGUAAAUCUAUACAAUUUUAAAAUGUGGCGUUCAUAUGACCUCUGUUUUGGGUUUAAUAAUAGACUCUCUAUCUAACAGGAAAAUGUGCAAAUCGCUUGCUUGCUUCAUCGGGCUUGCCUCUAAUUGCAAGACAAAUGAAAGUAUGCUUAAAACUUUGGUUUAGUCGGUGUAACCUAGACUAUGCUUUGGCUUUAUUAACUUCCAGUUAUGGAUUAUUUGUUUUCAACUGCUGGUGGUGUUUAAAUGCUUUGCAGAAGCUAGAUUUGAGCUCUAUAUGGGCCCUCCUUGCAGCAUUUGAGGAUCCCCUUCCCAUCCCAAGUGGUGCACCUCCGUUUGAAGGAGCCUUUGUGAAAGGAGUUGAUUCCGUCUCAUGGAUGGGAAACAACUCUAUGAAGCUAUUUUCUAAGAAUAACAGUCCUCAUUGUUGGACCAUUUUCAGCACUGCAGCUUUUGGAAGGAGGAACAAGGUUCCUCAGGAAAAUAUACCAAGUGCAACAGCAGAGAAGGUGAAGACAGCCAUGCUCGAGGGUGUGGAAGCUGCACUUGGAAUACCAAAAAGCUCACUUCAAAUGCCUUAUUAUAGUAGAUUACAACUAUGGGGUGCAGCCCUUCCAACCAACAGUCCGGGAAUCCCAUUCAUUUUUGAUCCCCAUGGAAGGGCUGGCAUAUGUGGUGAUUGGCUGUUAGGUUCAAAUCUGGAGUCUGCGGCUUUAAGUGGCAUGGCUCUUGCUAAUCAUAUUGGUGAUUUUUUACGAAGUGCCAUAGGCCGCCCGGAGGAGUUCGCUGUGGGCUUGCAUAACGAGUUCCAUCCUAUUGAAGGGCACGAUAUUGGACAAUUUUCAGGGUUGGAGUCCAGGGCAAACCCCAAGGAACUUCAACACUUGAAUUGAAUCAAUAAUGAUUAUGAUGAUUAUUAAUUAUGUAAUUACUUGAUUAUCGUAUCCUAUCUAUGCUAAUGAGGCAUUUCUGUUGCAUUUUUUUAUGAUAUAAUUAUGAAUACCAGAAUCAUACAAUUUACAUGUCUCUUUAUACGCACGUGCCAACCACCGAGCAAUUGCCCACUCCCAGCAAACCCGAAUUAUCGGUUCUUGUUGGUACGGGUUAAUCGGUUUCGCCCGAUCGGUGUAAUGAACAGCCCCCAUCUACUAGUCUGGUCAUUUCCGUUUACGUUAAUUUACUAUUGCGUCCAAAUGUCGCUAACGUGCGCUUGUAACUUACGUUUACGCUAGAAUACGCCGAGAAACACACAGCGUAUAAAUUUUAACGAAACGCCAUUAAAGAACACAAAUUAAGGAAUUUGAAUAACCUAAACCAAUAGCUCUGUUGCAACUUGCAUCUAUCAAACAACAAAUUUACAUCUCUAUGCAAAAUACUCAACUCAAGACUACAUCUCAUUUCCUUGCCUUCUUCACCGUCUUCUUUCCGGGCGUAGUUUUGGAAGCAGUUUUCGCCACCUUAGCCGGCUUGGCCACAGUUUUCGGCUUUGGCUUCGGCUUCACUGCCGGCUUAGACUUAGGCUUCACUGCUGGCUUAGCAGCCGCCUUAGCUUUCACAGGAGCUUUACUUUUAGGCUUAGGCUUGGCUGCGACUUUAGCUUUGGGCUUGGCUGCGACCUUAGCUUUGGGCUUGGCUGCGACUUUGGCAGUUUUCUGCUUGGUAGCUGCGGGUUUAGGCUUGACAUCGGCUGGUUUCAUAGCCGGAGCAGAGCGAGUUGGAGGAAGCUUGAAGGAGUUUUUCACUUUGACGAGCUGACCAGAUGCAACAAGUCUCUUCAGUUGAACCAGCAAAAGCUUUCUGAAAUUUGAAGGCAACUUCUUCUGCUUCUCUUCGAUGAACUUAGUGAUCGCAUAUUGGCUCGAUCCAGUCCUCUCUUUCAGUGUCACAAUCGCAUUACUUAUCAUCACAAGGAAAGAAGGAUAAGCGCGAGGGGACUUGGCCUUCUUAUGCACGGCUGCCUUCUUGGCUUUUGGCACACUGGCCUUGGUGGCGGUGGCCUUUGUGGUGGCUCUUUUGGACCUCGUCUCGUUCACCGCCGGCACAGCAGGAGCCAGAACUUCAGCAUCAACCAUUGUUAUAACUCAGCGAAACGAGCUGACCCUAAACAGGAGAAAUUCUUGGAGAGAUGGAGAGAUCGGUGGUUUUUUUGUUCGCGGAGAGAGAAAACUCGAUC